GAAAAUGUCUGCUUCGAAUCUGCAUAGAUCAGUCCCCAGGACUCUCAUCAUCCCACGUUAUUUUCUGGACAAAUUGGUGGAAAUGAGACCCAGCUUUUGUCUUCUAGAUACAAAAACAAUUAUUAAUGCGUCAUGAUCUUUGGAAUUGUGGAAUUUCGUAAGUUAGAAUAAGGAUUUGAUUGGGGGUGGAGGGUAAUAGUUGUGUACUGGCAGAAUUAUUGCAGAACUAAAAAGUUAAGAAAUGUGAGUACAUACAGGCAAUGUUUAUCCAAGAUAUGCAAACAAGUUAAGUUUCUUUAAAAAAAUCAUAAAUAAAAUAGUAAAAUCAUUUAAUAAAAUAGUAAGAUAACAAUUCAUUGCUUGAACUUUUCUCUUCAAUGUUACUUUGGUGUUACAUAAUGUCAGUUAAUCAUGGCAGUUCUUUCUUUUUGGUACUACUCAUUUUUAUGUAACGUUUUUCUUGCCUUUAUUUUCCCUUCCAAUUUUAGAAAUGUAUUGGGUUUCCAGAAAUCACCUAAGAUAUAAGCCACAUAGUCACUUAAACUAGCCAUGUCAGUAUAUUUAUCUUAGCAUCAUUAAGUCAUUAAAAUAACUUAGUAAGCAAUUCAAAUUGUGCCUCAGGAAAGAAAUAUUAUAUUGGAUUAAAAGAAAGUUCUAAAAUGUUUCAGGUCACUUUGACACUACAAGUGGUUCAUGUAUUUGGCUAUGCCUGAAAAUAUCAAUAUGUGAUCUUUUUACUUUUUAUCCUGAUUCCAUUUACACUUUAUAUUGCACGGAAAGCAUGAGGAGGGCAAAUCAGUACUUGCUGUUCUGUUUCCCUGCUUUAUGUUCAAAACAAUGUGUCAAUCAAAUAAGAGCCACCUUCCUGAAUUAUUCAUUGGCUAAAGGUAAGUUGGUAUGCUAUAGUUACUUUUGUGUAUUUUAGUUUAGAAACCUCAUUUUAGUUUUUCAUAGAGUAGCAGUAGUUUGUACACCUAGUGCUCUUCUAAGUGUUUUCCUAUUCAAUACUGUCAUCAGUAGUUGUUAGAUCAUCUAUCUUGGCAUUUCAUUUAAAAAAUUAACAUGUAUUCUGUCUCAUUUCUGAUGGUCAAUUCACCUAAGAUGUAAAAUAUUAUGCUUAUGAUAGGUCAAAAGUCCACAAGGCAGUUAGACAUGUCUUAGACAUCCUGUUGCACUGUCUUGUAAAUGUUUCAGUUAGUCAUUGCUGUGAUGUAAAUGCAUGUUUCACUUCAAAAUUCCUGUGUUGGUACUUAACCCCUAACUCGAUGGUUUUAAGGUGUGGGGGUCCUUGGGCAGUGAUUAGACCCUGAAGGCACUGUCCCUAGGGAUGCAGUUAGACCUUGUAUAAAAGGGCUUCAAGGAAAAGAUUUAUGACUUCACCUUUCUGCCAUGUGCGAUGCAGUAGUAAGACACUAUCUUGGAAGCAGAGUGAGCCUUAGCAGAUACCAAAUCUGCUAGUGCUUUUUGGACUUCCCAGAGAUCAGAGCUGUGAACAAUAUAUUUCUGUUGUUUAUAACUUAGUCUACAGUAUUUUGUUAUAGUAGUAGAAUGGGCUAAUCCUUGAAAGGAAAUUUGUUGCAAACCCAUUUUGCAUUUUGCUUUUUUUUUUUUUUUUUUUUGUACCGGGGAUCAAACUCAGAACCUUGCGCUUUCGAGGGAGGCACCAGACCCACUGAGCUAAAUCCCUGGCCCUUUGUGGUUUUUUUUUUGGUACAGGGAUCGAACUUGCGUCCUUGCGCUUGCAAGGCAGGCGGCGAAACCACUGAGCUAAAUCCCCAGCCCGCAUUUUGCUUUUACACCUUGUAAAAAAAAAAUCAGAUGGCAUCAACAAGAUCUGUAUCUGGGAUGUGAUAUUGUUUAUUGGUUUCUUUGUUGAUCCUCUAGUAACCCGCUAUUUUACUAACUAUGUCUUUGGAGAAAGUAAUGAAGUCAGGAUGCAUAAUUUCUUCAACUUUAUUGUUUUUCAAGUUUAUUUUUACUAUUUUAGUUAUUUUUCCACAUAAGUUUUAGAAUGUUUAUUUUUACAAAAAUAGCUUGAUGAGAUUAUGAUUGUGAUAUAGCAGUUUAAGGAGAAUUGACACUUUAACAAUAUUGACUCUUCAAAACCAUGAACAUAGUAUAUCUUUCAGUUACAUUUUUCUUUACUGUCUCUUAGCUGUGAUUUUUGAGUCCCUUUUGUAUUUUGGCUGUCAUUGAAAAACAUGUGGAAGUGGGAUAUUACUAAAUGCAGUUUUCAGCUCUGUGUCUCAGAGGAAUUCAAUGUGUUAUAAAGAUUUCCUCCAGGCUGAUACCUGUCUUCAUUCUCCCAAAGGCUGAUUGUCUAUUGUCAGUCAAAGAGAAUGUAUUGAGCAUAGUUCCUAACAGUGAUGUGCUAACUUAUUAAAAUCUCUUGCAUGCAUUCUUUCAGUGCUCAUUUAUACCAUAGUUAACCUUUCCAGUGAAUAAUCCAUCAUCAAGAAAUUUGCAUUUAGCAAGUGCUAAAAAUGAGCCUCUAUUGGUUUGUAUUUUGUUGGCUACCAGUUCUUCAUCAUUUUCAUGUAAAUAGACUCCUACUCAAAACAAUCUAUUAUGCUUAACUUUUGAGAGAUGGAAAGGUGUUUUUUCCACUAUGCCAACAUAUUGGUGGCAGUCAUUUUCUGCUUUUCUUCAUUUUUGGAGAGUUAUGACAUAUUCUCAAUUGCCAUUGCUCUCUCUGAUUCAUUCAUCCUUUCUGUAGUUUCCUUUCUCCUUAUAUUUCAUUUUACAUCCAGAAGGGUAUGUACAACAAUCUAAACUUGUACCUUUUGCAGCAUAUAUUGGCUUAUUUUUUAUAUAAAUGUUACAUUCAAAAGUAAACAAUACUUUGUAUUGUUUAUCCAACAGUACUAUUAAAUAUUUAACAAUGGGUUGAGGUCAAAUGGUGAUGACACAACAUGUGGAAAUACGAGACAGAUGAUGCAUUAAGUGUUCAAAUAAAAUAUUUCAACACAUGACAAGACCUGCUUUUUUUUGGACUAGAAUAGAAAUAUGUGUAUAUAUAUAAUGAAAACUACUAGAUGAAUGAUGUAGAGGCAGUGUUGGUCAAUGUGUGCUUAAUGUCCUAUAAAUAGUCACUGUUUAGCAAUAUAAAAUUGUCAGUAUAUAUAGGAUGUUCAUUUAUUUGGUUUUCCAAUACAUUACAUAAGUAAUUCUUUUGAACUGGUCUAAGUGUAAUUUCCUUGAAAAUAAGGAUAUGAAAAUCAUCAACAGGAAGCAUGUGUUAAUAGCUCACAUGCUGGGCAGAUGGAAACAUAGAGUAGAAGAACCAUUUAGUUGAGAUCAUUUUGGUCUCAAGACUCCUAAUCUUUGCUUUAACAGAAAACAUUGCUUUGGCCAGCUAGAUGACACAACGAUCACACUGUCAACAUUUUCAUUUGUGCCAGAGCACCAGAUUUCCUGGAGAAGUUGUUAGGCAGUGAUUCUUUUUCUUAUUCACAGUCCCUUUGAGAAGCUAUUGAAAUAUAUGGUUUAUAUAUUUAUUUUGCAUUUAUUUUUUAAACAGUUGAUAGACAUGUUGAAAUCUAUGCAUUAAACCAGGUAGGGUUUCAUGAUCCCAGAUUAAGACCCUGGAUUUGGAAAGAUUGAGCUUCUUGGAGGGCUGAUUAUUAUACCAACCCAUUCCAAAUCAUCCUAUUUGCUUUUAAAGAACUUUUCAGACUUUAGUUAGAAAGUUCUUUCUGGUGUAUGACUUUAUGUAGGAGAUAAUAAUACAAAAUUAACAAUGCCAUUAUUACAAUUGUCUUGAGAGAGCUACACACACACAUAUACACACACACAUCCCCUGUAUGUGUAUUAUUUUUCUUUAAUAAUAGCUACCAUAUAUUGAAUACCUAUUCCAUGACAGACUCAUGAAGUGUGUUAUCACUAUUUUUCUACCUACCUUUCCAGGUAGGUAUUAUGAUCACUAUUUCUUAGAUCUGAGCACAAACUUAGAACAAUGCUGUAUUUUAAAAAACAAGAUGUACUUUACAGCUUAGCUUUUAGGAAGGGAUUGCAAUUUGGCUCCCCAAGAAAUAAUAUGGAAAAAGAAACAGCUCUGUAUUUACAACUAUAUUCUAAACAAACUAAGAAUAUUUUUAAAGAUAAUAAUUUCUGCUGUCUCCGCAGUUGAGAUACAUAAAAUACAAGUAUGCAGGUACAAAAUAUCUGCCACAUUCUCUAGAUGCUGCAACAGGGAUAGAGAAGCAGCAAAGACAAAGCUAGUUACAGUUUUCUGGGAGUUUUUAGAAUAAAAUAAAAGGUAGACAUUAAAUAAGUAAGUACAAUGUAUUGUGAUAAAGAGAGUCAAGGCAAGUCUUCUUGUUGAAGUGACAGCUGAACCCUUACAUGUGAAGAUGGGUUGUUAAAAGAAGGUGGUGCUUUGAGGGAGAUGGUAGAAGAAUAUUUGUGGAACCUAGGAUAUAAGAAAGGAAUCAUUCAAAGUAUUAAAAUAAGUUUGGUUGUGGCCACCAAGUUUAAGAAGAAGAGUAGAAAUUGAGAAUGAAGAAGUUGAUAAUCUGCAUUGUGUAAGCUCUUGCAAAAAUCUUGGGUUUAGUGAUUUUUCAGAGGAAAUCCGUCAGAAUAUAAGUAGGAGGUGACAUGAGCUCUUUUUCAUUUAGAAACUUGCUUCCCAGAUGAAUUGUGGAGAUAUCUAGAAGGGCACUGGUGAAAGGGCUACAUCAAGAAAUGACUAAGAGGUAGAAUUGGUAGGUUCUGUUGGUUGGAUAUGAGGGAUGAAAAAAAAGGAGAAAACAAGGCUGACUCUUGGGUUUCUAGUAUAAAAAUAGUGAGUGGGUGUUAGUACCAUUUCUCAACAUAGGUAAUAGCAGAGGAGGGGAAAGUUUCUGUAUGGGACUUGGAUUCUAGGAGCUUGUGUGAGUUAAAAAAAUAUUGAAUGACCUAAACUGCCAAGUUCACCUUUAUAAAUAAAUUCACUAGUGGUAACACAGAAACAACCAGUUUGACCUAGGAAUGACCAAAUGAAAACACAAAAUAGUUUGUGAUGAAUAACAAACAAAUGAAUAACUUGUUUCAUCAACUAGCAUUCAAGAAAACAUGUGUUCUUCUUUGUACUUUCCAACUUUAAAAGAUAGCACUAACUUUAAAGGAUAGCAGCAACUCAAGAUAAAUGAAACUUAUGUGACCAUAGAUGAAAGGGGUCCUCACUUUCUCAGGAUACACAACUGCUUGGGAAUCUUUGUCUUACCUAGACCAAUCUCAGUGUCCAGAAGGCCAGUUAGGGUGCAAUACCUGGAGUCAUGGUACAGUAUUUAUUUGGUGUGUGAAGUAUUUAUUGAGUGCAAUGGAAUACUAACCGAAAUAAAAAACAUUCGAGGAAUAACUGAUGGGGAAUUAGCGUUUAUAUGUCUCCAAAGUAAUCAGAUCACUUUCUUCUUUCCCAGAGGAUCUCACAGUGACAUAACGAAGGGAUCAGGCUAUCAUCACCUUCAUCCAGUGGCCAAUCAUUGUAUCACUGUGAUGAUAUUAAUCAGGGAUAGCUGUGUCCUGUUGUGAUGAAAUGCUGAGAAUUAACUUUACCCAUGAUGAAUUUUAGCCAAACAUAUGUGAAUCUAAUCAAGAUAUUAGCUCUAACUUUCCAUUUAUAGAAAAUUCAGGACAUAAAAGACUUAUACCAUACAGAUGAUCAAUUCCACAAGAUGAGUCAUUCUACAGAACAACUGAUCUGCUAUCAUCAGUCUGAGAGCUUAUAAAUUGUUGCUUCUCUUUUGAUGCUAAGAAAAAUUUUAGGCUAUUUUGUACAGCUGAGAAAAUAGUCAUAGUGAAAGUGGUCAUCUCAAUAAUGCAUCUUUGUAUUGGCUCUCCUUUGUGUUCUUUUCCAUCCCUUACUAUUCACUCAUGAAUGACAAACACUAAUAAAGAGUUUAAAUUUCACUUAAGCCUUCUUUCACAUUUUGCUUUCUGGGAAAUCAACACUAAGAGGAAGUGCAUCUAACAGAUUUAAGGAAAUAAUGAAGCCAGUAGUUGUAUUUCUAUACAGCAUAGAUUUUCUUAUGCAUUUAGGACAAAGAUUGCAUCCAUAUGCUUAUUAAGAUUAUAGAACAGGAGUGAAAAAUAGGAAAAUUUGAUUUAAGAGCAGAAAAGAAUUCUAAAGCUAUAAUUAAUAAUAUCUGUUUUCUGUACCACAUAGGGGUGUGUCAUCCAUUCAUAUUUGCUUUUAUUCGAAUAAAAAGUGAAAGUGAUCAAGGGGAAGAUAGGAAGUAAUUACAUACCUUAAUGGAGAUAAAAAGACCCUCAUUUUCAGGUGACUUACAUGGAUCAUUUUUAUGAGCCUUAGGCAGUGUUCAAAGUCAUUUUCCCAGCACCCUCUUCAUCUACACUCUUCUUCCUUUCUCUGCAAACUCACUAGAAUCCAAAAUGUGAUUCUGGCCUAAAAACUUUGCAUUUGUUGCUUUUUUUUCUUUACUUGAAAACUUUUAUGUUCGAUGCUUGGGUGGCUUGCUCCCUCACUUCUUUUAGAUCUCUGCUCAAAUAUUAGUUUAUGAAUCUAAAAUAUUACAUAUAUACAUAUACACAAAUAUAUGUAAGGAAAUAUAUGAUAAAUACAGUGUAUGUUUACCAAUGGGCUAUUUGAUUGCUCCUGAAAAGGUAAAAUAAAUGAUUACAUUUUCCACCUUACAUGUUUUCAAAGUGGAAGAUAUUGGUUGAACAGAUAAUCUUGGAAAGUUUGUUUUCUGACUCAUGUUGCCCUAGACUGACUUUAUGUCUUUGUUGCCCCAGACAUGAAAUAAGCCUUUUUUUUUUUUUUAAUCAAGAAGGCUUAAUUUUUUAAAAAUUGAGGAAUGGCUUCAGAGACCCAUAUCUGGAUCCUAGAGGUACUCCUUGGAACUGGAAUGAUAUUGGUCCUACAUUUUAAUGAACAGAACAAGAAAAAAUUUACUUUAAAAAUCAUAAAUUUUGAUGUUUCACAUACAAUAAAAUUUACAUACCAUAAAUUCACUCUUAAAAUGUACAAGUUAUUGAUUUGUAGCAUAUUCAUAGAGCUGUGCAACUGUUAUCAUCAGUUAAUGCCAGAACAUGUUUCUCACCCUAGGAAGAAACUGUGAACUCAUGUCACUUCUCAUUUUCCCUUCAUCCUUGCCUCUGGCACCACUUAUCUAUUUUCUUUUUCUAUGAAUUUUAUUAUUCUGGAUGUUUCAUAUGAAUGGGGUCGUACAACAUGUGGCUUUUUGUAUUAUUCUGGAUCCUUUCACUUAGCCUCAUGCUUCCAAAGUUUAGUUGUAACAUGUAUUGGUAAUUCAUUUUAUCAUGUACUGAAUAGAUCUGCCACAUUUUGCUUAUUUAUUAAUCAGUUGAUAGAUGAUUGGAUUGGUUCUUUCUUUCUUUUUUCGGUACCAUGGAUCAAACUCAAGACCUUGUGCUUGAGAGGCAGGCAUGGUGCCUCUGAGCUAAAUCCCCUGCCCUGGAUUGUUUCUACUUUAUUGGCUAUUAUAAAUGAUACUGCUAUGCACAUGCAGAUACAAGUCUUUGUUUCAACAUGUUUUUAUUUCUCUUGGAUCUAUACCUAAGAAUGGAAUUUCUCGGUCAUAUAGUAACUAUAUGUUGAAGUUUUGGAGGACUUGUCGAAUUGUUUUCCAAACAGUAUUUUCAAAACUGUUUAUAUUAUUUUCUAUUCCCAUCAGCAAUGUAUGAGUGAUCCAAUUUCUCUGCAUCCUCAAUAAUACUGGUUAUUAAAUGUCUUUUUGGUUGUAGCUGUCUUUAUAGGUAUGAAGUGGUAUCUAAUUGUGUUUUUUCUUCUUUUUUGAUUGCUUUUGAAAGUAAAUUUUCCUUGAUGUUAAAUCCAUACAGAGAGAUUUUGAAAUGAAGAAAUAAGUGACACCAACCUGUAAACUUCACUAAGGAAAUGCAAAUACAUAGCAGUGGACUUUGGUACUGAUAGACACAGUAAAGAAAAAUGGCUUACAGAACCUGUAGCAUAAUAAAAAUAGUAAAUUUUGUAAGUAAACACAUUUACAUUUUCCAACCCUGAGGACACAAGAUAGCAGCUCCCCAUGAAGACAGAAAAAUCCAUGCCUUAUAAUUAAAGCAUAGCAGGAGUGUCAGGAAAGUUAUCUAUAGUUGAAGGUAGGUUGACUUUGCAUCCAAAGCAUAAUUUUCCAUAUCCUGCCUUUCUCUCUUGUGAUUUUGAUUUCUAUUUUCCAAUUCACUUUUAACUUUACAUUAUUUUAGUUUACUUUUUAAAUUUUAUAAUUUUAAUUUAAAUUUUUAUUUUAUAAUUCUCAUGGUACCAUGAAAAUCUUAAUUUCUUACAUCAUUAUGAAAUCACUUAUUUUUUUUUCCUAUGCUAUAGAGGAUGUGGUUUCAAAACCUUCCUUUUUCAGGUUACAAAAGAUUUAAAAACCUUUUAAAAGGUAUUUUCUCUUAGAAUUUGGUCUUUAGAUUUUGGCUUCCUUUGUUGAGAAAAAGCUCUUUUUCACUAGAAUAGAUUUGGAAAGAGAAAAAAGAAUUUACUGAAGCAGAAGCACAGGGCAAAGAUAAUGGUAAAGUUUUAAAGAAAGCACACAAACUCUCAUUCACUUGAUUAUGGAAGUAGUAUGUGUUACCGUAGAACAUUUGGAAAAUAUAGUACAUUAAGGAGAAAAUUGAGACCAUAUGUUUCCUUAUUACCGAGAUAAUAGUGAUUAAUGCUUUGAUUGAUUUAUGUAUCUCCAGAACUUUUUCCAUUUAUAAGUGCAAUGACUCAGGCGAUCACCAAUACCAGGCCAAUUAGGAACCAGAAUCUAGCAUGAAGGGUCUAGAGGAAAGAGAAAGAAGGAUGGUAGAAAGUAGACAAGACCCAAGGUUCUUAACCUAUACAUUAUGAAAUUCUUAGCCAUAGAUCAUGCAGGGUUCAAGAUCUGGCUGACAAUGAAGAUAUAGGAGACAGGAUAGACAGGUCCUGGGCCCAGGGAAGUGAUCUGCUGUCCAGCUCUAGAAGAAUGGGGACAGGGGGAUGGGUUAUGACUACUUUUUUUGUUAGGACUAUCUCAGGAAAGGGAAUAGACUUGGCCCCCAUACACAGAGCUCAUUAAAGACACCAAACUUGGGUCCUGAGGAAGACAAAGGCAGGGGACUAAGACAAGGACUAAUUUGGUAUAGACUGAAAACAAAUAAAUUUAUUUCCAAUUAUGUUAUACAUUUUCUGGAAAACCAAUCUGUAAUAAUAUGCAACAAUAUGAUAAUUUUUUUCUCAAUCCAAGCUACUGUCAGCCUUCACUAAAUGUAUAAAGAAGUACUAUAGAGAUGAGCUCCCAGAGUAUAUUAUGUUAAUAAUUAUUCUUAAUGGAAGGAGCAGAAAGUGGCACUGUGUUAUGGGAAGCAACUAGAGAUAUUUGAAGAACGUGUAUUCUUAUUGCUCUUACAAUGGUUAAACAACUUUUAGCUUUCAGCCAAAAUGAGUUUUGUUUUUCCUCCCAGAAAAUUCUAAUAAGAUGCAAGCUAGAGUAGAGUGCCUGAUUCAAUUGUGGGUGUUCAAUAAAUAUUAAACACCAACAACAAUUUUUGAAGUUUCCUAUGUUAUGUCUGCUCUAGAAAGGAUUUCUUCAGCAGAGCUAUGGAUUAAGGAUAGUCUGAGAAUCCAAGAAAGAGUGACAUAGAAACUUUGCCCACAGCUCAAUCCCACACACCAAAGUGUCAGAACAAAAAGAUCAGUAUAUGGUGGUAACUCCUGCGUUCCUUCCUGCGCACUGAGUUGCCUUUUCUUGCUAUUGGCUCUUUAUGAAUAAGGGGUUGAAUCGGCUUGUGAUAAGGCAAGCGAAAAGUGUUGGCAUUUUGAAAAGGAUAACCUUGAAUAUGGUCUUGGGUUUUCUUUACAUAUUUACAUCUCCCCAUGUCUAGCUGCAACUUGAGAAGAAGUUGGAAAUAAGGAGAUAAGUAUUCUUUGGCCCAGAUGAAGAGGAGAAGUCAGUCUCUCUUCCGAUCUGCAGUCUGGAUCUCAUAUCUGAGAGUUAAAUCUCUACUGCACUGGGGACAAGUGCAGAUCACACAAUGGAGGGCCCCCUGUGUGCCUCUGACAGGAGAAGUUUGUUCAAAGUGUCAUAGUGUUGUUAUCUUGAUAGUGUAGUACAAUGUGGUGGGAUGGUGGGGGAAUGGUGCUGGGACAGGAGAAAUGCUCAGGUAGCUAAACAAUGAAAGCUUACAUGCUAUAUGUGCAGAAAUAAAAGGGAGAUCAGUGUAUCCACUGGUUAGCUGAGGCAACUAAAAGGUGGAGUGGGACUUUUAGGAAGAAUAAUGGUUGCAAAAGCUUAAAAUAAGGGAAUCUGAACUACAUACUGAAAAAGCAAUGGGAAAUUCAGUACUAUGUCCUUUCACCACAGUACCAUCACCAUGAAUCAUCUUUAGGCUAUGAUGAGAAUUCAGAGAUCUCAAGAAAGGGCAGGGGAUUUAGCUCAGUGGUUUUGCCGCCUGCUGCGCAAGCGCAAGGACCCGAGUUCAAUCCCUGGUACCAAAAAAAAAAAGAUCUCAAGAAAGAUCUGUCUUGGUCUGUAUCCAUACGUCAAGUUGAAGUAUUUAUUUUUGACCUUGGUAUUAGAAAAUGCUGUCAUUGAUGGCAUGACUAUUCACGUGAGUGAGAGGAACGCAAAGCUGCCUGAUUAAUGGCAUACAGUCCAAUUUUUUCUAAGUACACAGGUAGUUAGGCUGUCUAUCACUGUUGGUGGCUCUGCCUCUUCACCUUUGGGACUACAUAAAAUCCCAGUUAACAGAAAGCUCCCCCAGGCUUGGAGUAUGAAAAAUCAAUUUGUUGAAUGCUAUUGCUUCCCAGGAGUGAGUGUAUACGCUGCUUUGCUAACCAUUCAGCUUCUGCACAUUCUUUCCACUUUUCUUUGUGGGCCCUGCUUUAAUCAAGCUGUUUGGCCUGUGGUAGGUGCAGCUUCUGUGGUUUAGUGCACAUGUUCAGGGGCAGACAUUCAAUGAACAGAGCUUAAAUGAUGAUUGAGUGACUACAUUCUGGGUCUAUGUUUUUGGCACUCUGUGUUUGCACCCAUGUCAAUUAUGGCCCACGAGUGAUGCUGUGGAGACUCCUGGGGGAAGUGAGAAGGGUCCAUGUUGUGCUGUUCUUUUUUUGAAUGGAUGCUUACUUGAGUUGACUGCUCAAUGACAUAUCUUGACCCUUGUGGGGUGAUUUUCAUCAGAAAGGAGCUGUUAGAACAAGUGUUUCAUUUUUUUAGGUGCUCAUGUGUCUAUGAACAAGUGUUCUAGGAGGUAGAAUUUGUAUUUACCUCUUUCCCCUAAAAGACCUGUGCAAGUUUCUUCUGUGAAAGUGGCCAAACCACUUCUGGCUUGAUUUACAUAUUUGCCUUGGGAUAAUUUUACAUCAAGGACAGGAUUCUUUUGAAUCAUGUGUAUUUUCUUGUGCUUUGGGUUUAAAAGUCAAGUCAUGGAAUAUAUAGAAGUUUCUGAAUGAUUGCACCAACAUUGCACGAUACUGCCUUCUGUGCUGGCUUGGUUUUUAUAAGGAUGCUGGGCAAAGUCUCAUUCUGGCUUUUAGAAGCAUGGUUUUGUCUAGCACACUGCACAAAUAGAUGUACCCAAAUUCAAUUGGUGGUGGAGAGCAGAUUUCAUAACUUUAGCAAAGUCUGCCAUCAAAUCUAACAUGCUGGCUUCAUCUUAAUUUUAGGAGUUUAGGGAAAUUCUCUUGUCAAGAUACCUACUUGCUAAAGAUCUGAUGUGUGAGUAUGAGUUGGGUUAAUGCAGGACACUGAGACUUUAGUAUGAAAGAUGUGGAAUAAGGGGAUUCAGGAUUAAGUUUAAGUUCAGUAAUUAAGUUCUGUGGUUUUUGUUGUUCUUUUGUUUUUUUUGGUACCGGGGAUUGAACUUGGGACUUGGUGCUUGCGCGGCAGGCGUCAGAACCACUGAGCUAAAUCCCUGGCCCAAGUUCUGUGCUUUUUGAAGAUUGUCUCUGCUGCCACAAAACUUGGCCCCCUUGGUUCUGUGAGGAACAAAGUAUGUCUACAAGACAGAUGUGAAAUUUGGGUACUUGUUUUCUUUACCAUAUUCCAUAUUCAAAGUUCUACUUCUUAUCAAAACUUCUCUUUCUAAGCAGGUUUAUAUGGCUUGAGCAAAUUAAAAGAGAUAAAAAAAUGAAAGAGAUGAAGUACUGUAAAUGUAUAAGAAUAUUUCUAUUGUUUAAACAUAGAAUUAUUAAAAUAUUAACUUAUGUGUAUAAAAAUGAGAAAAAGUAUAAAUUUAAUAUAUAUAAGAUACUUAGAAAAUAUAGACACAAAAUGAUGCCUUAUUUAAUGGAAAUAAGUUGUUAUAUUGGGAAAUUUAGGAAGAAUUUGUCUACUUUUUGGUAUUAUUUGAAAUUUUGUAAUCAGCGUGUUGAUUUUGUAAAAAAAAGUGCAUAUGCUUAUUAGUCAACUUUGGCUAUCUUUAAGGAGGCCUAAAUUUCUCUAUAAAGUGAAGCAGCAUCUUUCAUGGACCUUUUGGUACCUGGGGAUAUAAGAUUAUUCAGGCAGGCUCUUGGUCAGAUGAAGGAACUCUAUUGGAAAUUCUCAGGGAUAAAAUUGAAAAAAAUGAACACUAAGAGUUAAUAUAUUUGAAUAAAGAAUGAAGCUUGCCCAUGCUCACAAAUACAUGUGCCUACUUACUUCAUUAUAUGAAGCUACUGUGACAGUUGCUUUAGACUCACAAUGGAACAAAAAGAUUAAAUGUGACAUGUCCUUUAAAGAGUGUCUAAUUAAAGUGGAGAGUAAAGACAGGAAACAGCAAUGAACUACUCCUAAAGCAUCUUAAGCCCAUGUAAGCAACAGUAUGGUAUAGAAGGUAUAUGUAAUGUCUAAGGGAGUUAGAUAUAGAAAUGUAUUCUGUGUGGAUUUGUUAGCUUAAUUAAUUGCAGUCAUUGUGUUUCCAAGAAUAAAUCACUUGAAACCAGUGUACCCAAUUAAAAAUAUUAAAAUAAAGAUUAAUAAAUCAUACUUAGUGUUAUGAUUUUUAUAAUUUUUAAAGUAAAAUACUAUGGGAAGAUGAAGGAGGCAGUUAUUAAUUCUUUCUGAAGUGCUCAUAUGCAAAAGGCCUUCAAAGAUGAGAAUUAUUUUAUUAUAAGAAUAUAUGUAUUUCAAGAAAAAGGACAAACAAAAGCAAACAAUAAUAAUGGAGACUUGUUGGGCAGGAAGUCAGUGAAUCUGGAAAGAGUAAAUAGUUCUGGUCUUAGAAUGACUUAUUAAGAUAUUUAGACUUGAUGUAGAGCUAGUAAAGGGCAUAAAGCAUGAUUAGAUCUGUACUUGUUACUAUGAAAUACCUAUAAAAUUAUAAUUCAGAAAUUAAAUCAUUUAGAAACCUAUGGAAUAAAUUUGUCUUCUCAAAGAGAUGCUUCUGACAUUUGAGGCAUGGCUAUUUAAUCAAUCAUAUCUUACAUAAUUAUUAUCAAAAUACACUCUAAUGUUUUUGAUAUAAUAAAUCCUUUCUUAUAUGACACUAAGAAAAGAAAAUUGAAAAUUUUAUUUACAUUUACAGUCUUUUGUUAAAUAUGGCAGAAAAUAAAAUUCCCAAAGCAACAAUAAAAACAAAACAAAUCAUAAGGAACAAAAAAUUAAUGAUUUUGCUUUUGUAGGCUUUGUAGUGUUACUAGUAUUACUGUACUACUAAGCAACUACUACUUACUCUUUAUUAUCCACCAUGAGCCAUAUAUCCUUCUAAAUAUUUUACCUAUAGUAACAUUAAAAGUUUUUAAGUUCUUUACUUUUAAAUUAAAUUUUGUAUUUUAGAGUAGACUUAGAUUUAUAGAAAAGUUACGAAGAUAGUACAGAAAGUGCUAUAUACUCUGCACUCAAUUUCUCCUAUUAUGAACACCUUAUAUUACUAUGGUACUUUGGCUACAAUUAAUAAAUAAAUAUUGUUGAGAACAAAAGUCUAUACUUUAUUUGAAUUUCCUUAGUUUUUACUUAACUUUUUUUCUGUUCCAGGAUACAUACCUGGUACCACUUGACUUUUAGUUGUCAUAUUUCCUUAGGCUCCUUGGCUGUGGCAGUCCAUAAUAGAUAUUUUUAAAAAGAUGUAUCUGGGUGUGGUGGUACAUGCCUGUAACCCCAGCACAUAGGGGUCUGAGGCAGGAGGAUCACUGCAAGUCUGAGGCCUGCCUGGGCUACAUAGUGAGUUCAAGACCAGCCUGGACUACAUAGAGAGACCCAGCAUAAAAAAAAAAUGUGAUCUCAUUUAUGUUGUCUAGGCUGGCCUUGAACUCCUAGACUCAAAUGAUCUUCCUGCCUUGGCCUCUUGAGUUCUGGGACUACAAAUGUGCACCACUAUGCCUGACACAUAGUAGAAUUUUUAAUCAUUAUAAUAAUUAGACGUAGGAAGACUAUCAUCUAUCAUUUAUUGUCUUUUUAUUUUUUUUAAGUGAGCAAAUUAAAGCAUAGAGAGGUUAUGGUUACAAAGAUUACAGAGAAAUAGCAAAGAACUUCAGAACUCAGGGCCAAAGCCCCUCCCUUUCACCACUGCACUAUGCUGCUUCUACUAUACUGGGUAUUCAUUAAAAGGUUAACAAAUGGACAACUGCAUUCCCGCACUCAUGACAUAAGCCAACAUGUGGCAAGUGCUUGAAAGCUUCAAAAGGUAAAGGUUAUUUCUGGCUUGCAGGAGUUUAGUGAAGUUUCCAAAAAGAUAGCAACAAUGAGGUAAAGUUUGAGUUAGAGCUUGAGAAUUGAGAGGAAUAAUUGUAGAAUACACUUAGUUGUUUUCAAAUAUAUUAGAAUGCCUAUCCCACUUCAUUUUUGUAAUACCUCCAGGGUAGGUGAAUUGUUUUGCCUUGGAGAAAAUGGCUUGAGCACAAGAAUUUUGGGGUCAUAUUUAAUAAACUUUCAAUAUUUAAGCAAAGUUAUGGCAUAGAAAUUUAGCUUACUUCCAAUUGAUCACUUUCUUUCCCAAAUACUUUCCCAUCUAAUGGAAGGAUGAGGUCAACUUUGCUCAUUAUUAAUUCUUUUACAUCAUUCUGGCACAUAGGAUGUGAUGAAUAAGUAUUUGUUAAAUGAAUGAGUGAGCCCUGAUUCAAUUCAAAGAGACAUUAAAGAGUUCUUUGGAAUACUGUAGGCAGAUGGAGGCUAUGCAGGGUUUCCCUUCUCAAAUGCAAAUGCUGUUAGAGAAUCCUAGCAUCUUUUAACAUCUCCUGGUGUCUGUAAAAAUACAGUACAGAGAAGUCCAGAAAGUCUUCAUCCUUUGCUCUCCUAACCAGACAGCUAGCUCCUUUGACUUCUCUAACCAGACAGCUAGCUCCCUAAAUUUGUAAAAAUUCAUUCUCGGAAUGUUCUAGGAAUGUGUUCUGUAAUUCUGUAUGACUUUUCUAAAAAGUAAGGAGUAACUCUUAGAAUAUUAAGUUUAUUUAUUAGACCUGAACUGUACUGAGAAAUUAUUUUAAAAUGAUAAUCAGCAGCUUUACUUUGUCUUAAUUACCUCUUCAUGUGGUGCGAAUAUGAGCAAUUUGUGAUAAUUUUAAAAAAUAGUAACUUUAAAAAGUCCAUUCUACUUCAAGGGAAAAUGUGAUACAUGUGUAAUAGAGAUGAUUUUUAGAGGUUUUGGGAAAAUGACAGAAUUUCCAAAUUUGAAAUAUAGUACUUACAUUGCAUAACAUGCCUUUUGAGUUAUGAUGCCUUCCUUGCAGCCUUCCCUUUUACCCAGAUGGUAAUGGGUUUGAAAAAGGAAGACUAACCAAUCAGGAUUGGUCCUCCCAGAUUAAUUCUAACCUUGCAAGAACCUGGAAAACUGCCCUCUAGUGGAAUUUUUAAAAAUUUAGGUAUGCUCACGCGCGCGUGCGCGCACUUGUGUGUGUCCAAGAGAUCUGUCUUAUGGUUAAGGAUGGCAUGAAAAUUCAAUGUUCUUCACAUUUCUCUGAAGCAGUUAUGGGAAUGGCAAUUUCAAAUGGAAAAAGUAAAGGUUAAAAGUGACUUAUAGGAUAUGCAUUUAUUAUUUUGCUGUUUUUUCCAUUUGAAACUUAGCUUAUGUUAGCAAGGGCUAUAUUUUCAAGGUAGUUACAAGAGUGCAAAAAUAAAAAUUAACAAAAAAAUAGAGGCAAAAUAAUAAAAUCUAUAAAGAAUAGUGGCACAGAUAUUUAUUAGGAGGUAACUGUGCUUGAUGUUUGACCAUGAUUUUAAGAAAAAUGAGAACAUCUUGUUUUUAAACUUAAUAAAUUCUGGUUUUUUUUGGUAUAAUUAUAUUCUUGUGUAGAUAGCUUAUAAAUAUUCAGAUGCUGCUUUGUGUUUAUCUUGACAAUCAAGGCAGAAAUAUAUGUUGACGCCAUGAGAGCUGAAAGGGGUGAUGGGAUGUAGGACAGGGAAACAAGGGUCAACUUUAUGAGUAGGUGAGUAGAUGAAUAGCUGCCUCAUGCAUCAUUUGAUUUCUAGGUGAAUGAUUUUUUAAAAAUGAUUUUGUAAUUCUAUCUUUAAUUUUAUAAUUUAUUUAUUUAUUUAUUUAUUUAUUUUGCGGUACUGGGGAUUAAACUCAGGACCUUGCACUUGUGAGGCAGGCACAGCGCCACUGAGCUAAAUGCCUGGACCAAUUCUAUUUUUAUUUUGUAACACAUUGUAAACAACUUCUCUGUGAUUAAAUGCAUAUCAAAAUCAUGACCUUUAAUGACUACACUGGGUGUGUUCAGAGCUGUAAGUUCAGUGGAAUGAUGCAAAAUAUUUUUGUUCACUACACAACAGAACUGCAUUGUCUCUUUCUUUUAGGUUGAAUGAUGUCAAAUGAAAGAGAUGAUCUUCUGCUUUCCAAAUAACUCAUUCUCUAGCCAACAUUCCACUGUGGAAGAUGCAUAUCUUCUUCUUUAAACAUUACCAACAAAAGUUCUUCAUUAAAGCCUAAGCCAUUAUCAAUGAAUACUUUAAUUAUCAACACACACCCUGUUGCAAUUUCUUGUCUGUGGACCAUCUCCAUCAGAGUCACCUCAGAGUCUGUUAAAACAUUGACUUAACGGCCCCACCUGGGACCAGUUGGAGCAGAAUCUCUAGAUGGGAAAAUGGGUAAGCUGGGUGAUUUUUAUAGCCAGCGAAAAACUAGAAUCACUGAAAGGAUACACUGAGAACAAGGCUUUUUAGAAUACAGUUUAGACCCCAAAGGAGGGAGGGCAGAGGAUGCCAAGACAGAGGACAGAAGAAGAGAUAAGACGAGUGUGAGACACUACAACUGAGCUUUGGCUCCCGCAUGAUCCUGAACAGAACCAGUCCCUGGAAGAGUCAGUUACUCUGUUCAGUGGCUCUAUGACUAACCUCCCUCAUUGGGAAAAUGGGAGACAUGAAAACUUCUUUUGGAAAUGGCAAUGCUAGACCACAAGAAUGCAUGAAAAACAAAGAAUUCUCAGAGAUAAACUCCCUUGACUUGACUGAGCCCCUUGGGGUAGAGGCUUUUCAUUUAUGCUGGCCCCAGUGACAUGUGGUGUAGAUCCAGAUAUGUCCUGAGUCUUGUGAUCAUAGGCUUUCUUUCAAAAACAGUUGCUGACAAUCUGUCACUCCUUUGUGUUACAGCUCAGCCUGUUUGAAAAUGUAGGGUAUCAGCUGCUGUUGCUGUAGGUCCAUUUCUGUUUUCCAGCAGGUGGGUGUGUCUGUUUCUUUCCUUUCAUCUUCAUCCAGGCUUUCUUCUUUCAGGCACUUUCCGGUUUGUCAAGCCAAGUAUGCCUGUCAUGUUGGAACCCAGCCCUGGGACACUCACCAACUUCUCUUUGUGUUGGUAUCUCCCUUGACUGUGUUCCCCUUCUUCCUUAUCUUCCUAGAGCCUCCCAGUCCAUUCACAUGGUCACCUAUGUGUCUUAUUCUUUUGAUUGUGGAUGCUCAAAAAUUGCCAGUUAACCCUACAGCAUCACUUUUCUUUUUUUCUUAAUCCAGACUUGCCUUUUGCUUUUCCUUUGGGUCAUUGUGGCCCCUUUCUUCUCAUUUCUUUUUAUUGUUUUGUACAUCAAAUCAAGCAAAAUGCUUCAGUAGAUCCCUUGAGCUGCAGCAGAUUUCAAUGGAAAGGUAGUAGGUUUCAGACUCUGACCAGGGUUGGAAUCCUUUCUUUGCUACUUCUUGGUACCUCUGAAAACAAUAAUUCUGUCACAGAGUUGUGCAAUUUUAUUUAAUAAUACAAAAAUAUGCCAACCACAGUACCUGUAAGAAGAGAUGCUCAGUACGUGGUAGCUGUUACUAUUCAUUUUAUUUUUGGAUUAAAACUUUCCAUACCACUGCAACCCACAGUGCUUUCUGUCUUCCUUUGUACUUGUACUAGAUUUUCUUGGGUUUGUGGUUCCAAGAGACGUGACAAACUGGAUGUACAGCCCCAGCCACGUGACCCAAGAGUAAAAGAACUGAUGAUCAGGAAACAGCUAUAAUCCAGGAACUUACCAUGUCUAUUGCCCACUCUCAGGCAGGGGUUUCUCUUAAGAGUAGGCCCCUGAGAGGUGGAGAAUAUUUUCUUGAGUGUUGAAGUAAUUCAGUCUUUUAAGUAAAAGUUUGAUGAAAAGCAUGGUUUUCUCAGUGUCAUUUUGUUGAGUUCUGGACCACUUCUGUUCUAGGAAGUCCUAUCCAGUGGGGACUUGGAGCUUCCACCAUUCUAUGGCUUUUGGCAAUGGCCUGGCUUUGGUGACAAUGCAAUUUUCUAGCCUCCUGUUAUACUUUCUGUUGCUAGGAAUUUCUGCUGUUUGGUGUUAUACAAAAAUUGUCUAGGUUGGGGAUCUUGUAAACUAUGAUGUUGUUGGCUCAUUCAUCUCUGAGACUUCCAGGAUUGAGUUUCUAGUGAAGUCUACUCUUCUAUCCCUUUUGAACUUCAAGCUACAACAUAAACAUAAACAUGUUACACCUAAAAAUGUGAUUGUUUCAUCCUAUAUACCACAUAUAUUCUGAUCCAGGGGUUCUCAAGUGUAGCAAAUAAGGGAGGUUUCCCCAUGAGAUUCUGCUGUUCCAGACAUUGUCUCCACUGUUUCUAUUAAAAUUUAGUAUUGAGAAACCUUUAAUAUCUUUUAGGAACAUUGGAAAGGAGCAAAUAUUGAUUAGAAGUCUGACAGAGUGGGACAAAUAUUUCUUAAAAUUCUAAAUUAUCUGUCAAAAUAGAAAAUACAGGUCUGGGGCCGGGGAUUUAGCUCAGUGGUUCCAGUGCCUGCCUCACAAGCGCAAGGUCCUGAGUUUGAUCCUCGGUACCAAAAAAAAAGAAAAAAAAAGGAAAAAGGAAAAGAAAAUACAAGGCUUUUCUUUCUACUUCUUGGUCCUCCUCCAAACAUUUCAGUUAAGCAGAUAAAAAUAAAUCUGAAAGCCAAUCAACAACAACAACAGCAACAACAACAAAAACACAAAGAAAAAUCCCUUUAUCUCCCCUGAAAUUCCUACACCCAAAAGCCAAAAAGCUCAUGUCCUUUCUUUUCUGCUCUUCCAGAUUCUGUUCAUUCUUGGACUAAAUUUCCCUUGAACUUCCCUUUCACAUCUUGUUCAUCACUGGCAGCUCUAUCCCCAUGUUUCUGGCUACUCUCCAAAUUCUACUUCUCCUUCCAAAAAGACAUACACUGUAUGCUUCAUUUGAGGCAGAUCACAAACUUCUUAGUAGCUGUGUCUUUUUUAAUUAGCAAGAUUGUAUGUGUCUUGAGGGUACAACAGCUUGUACUCUCUGUAGAAUGUAGCACAAUGAUUUCCAAAAGACAGAUGAUCAAUGUAAGUAUAUUAACUGGUUAUUGAUUUUUGCUUUAGUUCUACUUCACGGUUUUCAUGCUUGCCAAGUUCUGCUUAUAGCCAAUGUAGGAUUAUAUUUGGCACCUGGGGACAAAGAUGGCAUGGGAAACUAAAAGCCAGAGAUAAUCCUAUAAGCUCAUUUAGAACAAAGGUUUAAUUAUCCCUCCAUCAACUGAAUCUUUUAUGUGAGCUGAGUUGCAAUAAGCAACAAAUUGGUGAGUUUCAUGUUGGCUACUUAAAUAGCAUGAGGAAUACAAGCUAGAGUGAAAGAGAAGCAGGAAUCUGGACUUAAUAAUCAGCUUGGGGCUGGUCAUAUCAGUCAGAGAGCAACAUGCUUUAAAUGUGUCAUCGAAUGAUGAUGUGGGGAAAUAAGCAUCUGAUGAUUUAUGAUAGACAGGAGCUAGUAUGGGGAUAUUAUGUGCUCUCUAAUGCCUAGUUUUCCUCAUUUAUAAACCAAAAGGCUAAGUGGAGCUGUUCCUGGAGACUGAAGUAGCCAAGUGCCAGUGAAAAGAAUAGGAAUAAGAAGAGGAAUGGGGGCUUCUUAGUAUGGCCUUUUACUGCUGUCAAACAGCUGUGCUCUUUCUCCUCCCUUCUGGGUCCUCAGUCUCUCUACCAUCAUAGGUCAACAGCUAGAAAAACCUGAUAACCAGUGGUAAAGACUGUGGCAUCCUGAAAGGAUAUUGCUUCUGCUUCCUAAAUCCUUUUUAAAUAUCUCCACUGCUACCUUGUUAGCAGUGGAUUGUAGUAAAAUAGUGAAAGGAUUUAGUAACUGGUAUAGUGGAAUGCACUGACCUGUGAAGAUAAAAACUGAUUAUAAAAAACCAAGAUGACCAUACCAGUAAGCCCUGCUCUUUGGAAUCAAGGUUCAGUUGCCUCUGGCCUGAACCUUGUAAGGGCCUCCAAAGUGGGUCUUCUAGUACAAUAGUUAGAGUGAUCUUUUCCAAGUGUAAAUGUCAUUUGGUAACUCUCUUUCCUUCUUUUCUUACAACCUUUCCAUGGCCCUCCACAGCUCUUAAGAUAAAGAGAACCUCUUUGGCAUGGCCUUUACAUUCUUCCAUAAUUUAUCCCCAUCUUCAUGUGAUAUAAUUCGCCUAUCCUCUACAUAAAGCUGUAAGCACCAUGACAAUAAGGGCCAUUUUUGGUUUUUUCACACAAUUAUGUUCCCACUUAGAAUACUGCUUGACUAUACUAAGACCUUAUUAAAUAUCCUUUGAAUGAAUAAAUAAAUUAUAAAGCAAUCUCAAUUUUUCUAAUGCAUAUUUUCAUAUCUGGUCCAGGAUUUUUUUUGUUGUAAAUACAUGUGAAUGUGUUUUUAAUAACAAUUUUAUAGAAGAUACUUGUUCACAUUUCUUGUGUUGUUGAAUGGCAAUAACAUUCUCCUGGUGGUGGGUGUCAGGCAUCUGGGAGCUGUUCUAGGCUGCUUUCUUUGUUUCAACGCUAGUAUCUAAAAACAGCCAUGUGGCUCUAUCUGUGUAUUUCCCAAAUGAUUCUCCCAGUUGUUCCCUCUAGUUUACCCCUUGGGUCUGCCUUGGUCUUGGUCCCAUGAUUUCUUGCAGUUGUGUCCAACCUGUUCUCUGCUUUCUUUCUUCCUCUUCUCUAGCUUAUUUUUCAGAGACAACUUCCUAAAACACAAAAGUAUGUCACUCCUCCCCUAAAAUUCUUUAGGGUGCUCUGCAGAGGAUCAAGUCUUUAGAACAACAUCAAAAUUCCUUCAUCAUUUGACAUGUCUGUUCUUUGAGAACUUAUCUAUCUAAUAAAUAUUUAUUGAACACCUACCAGGUGCCAGAGAGUCUACUGGAAAUAUGAUGGCAGAAAAGAUGUACUUUUUCUGCACCUUUUUAGUGUUUUUUGUUUGUUUUGUAGUGUUGGG
ensembl:lncRNA